rnacentral:lncRNA from 1 species
UUCCUAUUUAUGUUUGUAUACUUCUUUAGGUUAUUUGACUUCAAUUUAUAUCUUCUUCGAUUGAAAAAUGUUGCCUAUUCCCAGGGUCGAGAGUUCAACUUGGAUUCGGCGCGCCGAGGUUACGUAAACGUUGCGUUUAAAUUUAUUUCAGAAUUUGAAUAUUUUAUUUAUUUCAAAAAUUAUUAUUAUUUUUAUUUCAAAAUAAUAAUUAUAACUAUUGCCUACUUUGGUUCACAAGGGAGCUACGCCACUUAAGUCUAUAAGAACCGUUACCUUGGCCAGUGCACGUGCUUUAACCUCCAUAUUAUCAGAAGAAGAAGAGCACGUACUUUGUUAUGUUUUCCGUUAUUAUGGAUGAUAGAUUAUGGUUGCAUUCAAGGGUUCAUCAGCAAAAAGAAUAUAACAAACUUUAUAAAAAAGGCAACGUUCUCAAGAGACAACUCAGCAAAAGGAAUAUAGGCU